GGUGAGCAGCCGGACUUUACAUCCCGCGUGGACGGUCAACUGAGGACCCAGAGUCCUCCGCAAUUUCCGUCUCCAGGGUUUCCGCCUAGGUGCCAGCGAUUUCCUUCUCUAAGUUUUUGAAAUGCCACUCAGUUAUGGUGAGACCCCCAACCUCCACCACUACUCACUGGGUUGUCAGUGUAUUUAGAGACACGGCUCUUAAAGAUGCCAUUAAAGGCAGGAGAAGCAUUUCUCAAGUUAGCAACUUGCACAAGAAAGGUGGCUGAGCAAACCAGAGGGAACAGGCCGGUAAGGAGACUUCCUCUGCGCUUCCUGCAUCAGUUAAGGAGACUUCCUCUGUGCUUCCUGCAUCAGGUAAGGAGACUUCCUCUGUGCUUCCUGCAUCAGGUAAGGAGACUUCCUCUGCGCUUCCUGCAUCAGGUAAGGAGACUUCCUCUGCGCUUCCUGCAUCAGUUAAGGAGACUUCCUCUGCGCUUCCUGCAUCAAGUAAGGAGACUUCCUCUGCGCUUCCUGCAUCAGUUCCAGCCUUCCCUGUGUUCCUGGCCUGACCUCCCUCAGUGACAGACAGGGAUUGAGAUGUGUACGCCUGAUAAACCCUUUUCUUCACAAGUGCCUUUUGAUCCCGAUCUUUAUCAUAGUGAGAGAAAGUAAGCUGGGGGCUGAAGAGAUGGCAGCGGAUAAGAGCACUGACUGCUCUUCCAGAGUUCCUCUCGGUAUGGAAGUCUGUCCUCUCUCCUGUCCCAUGCUCCCACCGAGCCACAGACAACCGCAGCAAGCCAGCAUCCACUCUGC